rnacentral:rRNA from 1 species
GUGGGGAAUAUUGGACAAUGGGCGCAAGCCUGAUCCAGCCAUGCCGCGUGAGUGAUGAAGGCCUUAGGGUUGUAAAGCUCUUUCAGUGGGGACGAUAAUGACGGUACCCACAGAAGAAGCCCCGGCUAACUUCGUGCCAGCAGCCGCGGUAAUACGAAGGGGGCUAGCGUUGUUCGGAUUUACUGGGCGUAAAGCGCACGUAGGCGGCUCGUUAAGUCGGGGGUGAAAUCCUGGAGCUCAACUCCAGAACUGCCUUCGAUACUGGCGAUCUUGAGUCCGGAAGAGGUGAGUGGAACUCCUAGUGUAGAGGUGGAAUUCGUAGAUAUUAGGAAGAACACCAGUGGCGAAGGCGGCUCACUGGUCCGGUACUGACGCUGAGGUGCGAAAGCGUGGGGAGCAAACAGGAUUAGAUACCCUUGUAGUCC